rnacentral:rRNA from 1 species
GAGUACCACGGGACACGUGAAACCCUGUGGGAAGCAGGAGGGACCACCCUCCAAGGCUAAAUACUACCUAGUGACCGAUAGCGUAUAGUACCGUGAGGGAAAGGGGAAAAGAACCCCGGGAGGGGAGGGAAAUAGAACCUGAAACCCUGCACUUACAAGCUGUGGAAGCACAUUUCUUGUGUGACCGCGUACUUUUUGUAGAACGGGCCAACGAGUUACGUUAAGUAGCAAG